rnacentral:tRNA from 1 species
AUUCUUUUAGUAUUAACUAGUACAGCUGACUUCCAAUCAGCUAGUUUCGGUCUAGUCCGAAAAAGAAUACCA